AGUUUGAUCCUGGCUCAGGAUGAACGCUGGCGGCGUGCCUAACACAUGCAAGUCGAGCGAGAAAUUCUCAAUCAAAUCUUCGGAAGCGAGAGAGAAUGGAAAGCGGCGGACGGGUGAGUAACGCGUAGGCAACCUGCCCUAUACAGAGGGAUAGCCAUUGGAAACGAUGAUUAAAACCUCAUAAUACCAAAUCUACACAUGUAGGAAUGGUCAAAGAUUUAUCGGUAUAGGAUGGGCCUGCGUCUGAUUAGUUAGUUGGUGAGGUAACGGCUCACCAAGGCGACGAUCAGUAGCCGACCUGAGAGGGUGAACGGCCACAUUGGAACUGAGACACGGUCCAAACUCCUACGGGAGGCAGCAGUGGGGAAUAUUGCACAAUGGGCGAAAGCCUGAUGCAGCAACGCCGCGUGAAGGAAGAAGGUCUUCGGAUCGUAAACUUCUGUCCUAUGGGAAGAAGAAAGUGACGGUACCAUAGGAGGAAGCCCCGGCUAACUACGUGCC
rnacentral:rRNA from 1 species